rnacentral:rRNA from 1 species
AUUGAACGCUGGCGGCAGGCCUAACACAUGCAAGUCGAGCGAGCGGCGGACGGGUGAGUAAUGUCUGGGAAACUGCCUGAUGGAGGGGGAUAACUACUGGAAACGGUAGCUAAUACCGCAUACCAUCAGAUGUGCCCAGAUGGGAUUAGCUGGUAGGUGGGGUAACGGCUCACCUAGGCGACGAUCCCUAGCUGGUCUGAGAGGAUGACCAGCCACGCUGGAACUGAGCAACGGUCCAAACUCCUCCGGAGGGCAGCAGUGGGGACUCUUGCACAAUGGGCGCAAGCCUGAUGCGGCCAUGCCGCGUGUGUGAAGAGGGCCUUCGGGUUGUAAGGCACUUUCAGCGGGGAGGCGUUACCCGCAGAAGAAGCACCGGCUAACUCCGUGCCAGCAGCCGCGGUAAUAC